UGCCAGUGUGCAGUUUGACCACAUCCCAGCCAUUCAGCAAUACUGCAAACAACUACUCUCCAUGAUCAAACUAAAGCAACUUCAGAUGGUGAAAGUGGACGGAAGAACCAGCCAAUGUUGAAAUGCGUUACCUGGAGUACUGCUAAAUUCGUAAAAAGGGGAAGACGCAAUAUUAUAAAAUCAAAAUACUACGGAUGAUGGGAAUCUGAAAAAGUCAUAUUCGACUGGAAACGUUAACU